rnacentral:rRNA from 1 species
AUUGAACGCUGGCGGCAUGCCUUACACAUGCAAGUCGAACGGUAACGGGCCUUCGGGUGCCGACGAGUGGCGAACGGGUGAGUAAUAUAUCGGAACGUGCCCAGUAGUGGGGGAUAGCCCGGCGAAAGCCGGAUUAAUACCGCAUACGACCUACGGGUGAAAGGGGGGGAUCGCAAGACCUCUCGCUAUUGGAGCGGCCGAUAUCAGAUUAGGUAGUUGGUGGGGUAAAGGCCUACCAAGCCUGCGAUCUGUAGUUGGUCUGAGAGGACGACCAGCCACACGGGGACUGAGACACGGCCCAGACUCCUACGGGAGGCAGCAGUGGGGAAGUUUGGACAAUGGGGGCAACCCUGAUCCAGCAAUGCCGCGUGCAGGAAGAAGGCCUUCGGGUUGUAAACUGCUUUUGUCAGGGAAGAAAUCCUCUGGGUUAAUACCUCGGGGGGAUGACGGUACCUGAAGAAUAAGCACCGGCUAACUACGUGCCAGCAGCCGCAGUAACAC